AAAGAUGAUUUGGUCUGAUGAAAUCAAGAUUAAGCAGUUUGGCUUCAAUUUAAAGUGUCUGGAGAAUAACAGGCACCAUGCCAAGGGUGAAGCACGAUGUUGGCAGCAUCAUGCUUUUGGGAGCGUUUUUCAGCAGCAAAAACUGGGAGAAUGGUCAGAGUUGAGGGAAAGCUGAACACUGAAAAGUACAGUGAUAUCAAAGGAGAACUACAGACACAAACUUGUUUUCC